UACGGGGGGAGCAAGCGUUGUUCGGAUUUACUGGGCGUAAAGGGCGCGUAGGCGGUCAGCACAAGUCAGUUGUGAAAUCUCCGGGCUUAACCCGGAAAGGUCAACUGAUACUGUGCGACUAGAGUGCGGAAGGGGCAACUGGAAUUCUCGGUGUAGCGGUGAAAUGCGUAGAUAUCGAGAGGAACACCAAUGGCGAAGGCAGCUCGCUGGGACGGUUACUGACGCUGAGACGCGAAAGCGUGGGGAGCAAACAGG
rnacentral:rRNA from 1 species